AGUCGAGCGAAUGGAUUAAGAGCUUGCUCUUAUGAAGUUAGCGGCGGACGGGUGAGUAACACGUGGGUAACCUGCCCAUAAGACUGGGAUAACUCCGGGAAACCGGGGCUAAUACCGGAUAACAUUUUGAACCGCAUGGUUCGAAAUUGAAAGGCGGCUUCGGCUGUCACUUAUGGAUGGACCCGCGUCGCAUUAGCUAGUUGGUGAGGUAACGGCUCACCAAGGCAACGAUGCGUAGCCGACCUGAGAGGGUGAUCGGCCACACUGGGACUGAGACACGGCCCAGACUCCUACGGGAGGCAGCAGUAGGGAAUCUUCCGCAAUGGACGAAAGUCUGACGGAGCAACGCCGCGUGAGUGAUGAAGGCUUUCGGGUCGUAAAACUCUGUUGUUAGGGAAGAACAAGUGCUAGUUGAAUAAGCUGGCACCUUGACGGUACCUAACCAGAAAGCCACGGCUAACUACGUGCCAGCAGCCGCGGUAAUACGUAGGUGGCAAGCGUUAUCCGGAAUUAUUGGGCGUAAAGCGCGCGCAGGUGGUUUCUUAAGUCUGAUGUGAAAGCCCACGGCUCAACCGUGGAGGGUCAUUGGAAACUGGGAGACUUGAGUGCAGAAGAGGAAAGUGGAAUUCCAUGUGUAGCGGUGAAAUGCGUAGAGAUAUGGAGGAAC
rnacentral:rRNA from 1 species